UCAUCAGACAAUAACUCAUCGAUGGAGGAAACUUUGAAAUCCCUAAGGAUCUUAAAAUGACCCUGUUCCUCAGUCCCUAUUUUUGAAAUUUGGAAUACGAAAGCUUCUGGCUGACCCCAGCUCGGCAAGUUCCAAUCAUCUAUUGAGGAGCUCGAAACAAAAAGAAAUCACUCCUUCCAUCCAUGAACGGAGGAAGGAGCACCUUUUAUCAUAGGAC
rnacentral:lncRNA from 1 species